rnacentral:rRNA from 1 species
AUUGAACGCUGGCGGAAUGCUUUACACAUGCAAGUCGAACGGUAGAGGGGGCAACCCCUCGAGAGUGGCGAACGGGUGAGUAAUAUGUCGGAACGUGCCCAGUCGUGGGGGAUAACGUAGCGAAAGUUACGCUAAUACCGCAUACGAUCUAAGGAUGAAAGCGGGGGAUCGCAAGACCUCGCGCGAUUGGAGCGGCCGAUAUCAGAUUAGGUAGUUGGUGGGGUAAAGGCCCACCAAGCCAACGAUCUGUAGCCGGUCUGAGAGGACGACCAGCCACACUGGAACUGAGACACGGUCCAGACUCCUACGGGAGGCAGCAGUGGGGAAUUUUGGACAAUGGACGCAAGUCUGAUCCAGCCAUUCCGCGUGCAGGAUGAAGGCCCUCGGGUUGUAAACUGCUUUUGUACGGAACGAAAAGGUCUCUCUUAAUACGGGGGGCUCAUGACGGUACCGUAAGAAUAAGCACCGGCUAACUACGUGCCAGCCGCCGCGGUAA